UACGUAGGGGGCUAGCGUUGUCCGGAAUCAUUGGGCGUAAAGAGCGUGUAGGCGGCCCGGUAAGUCCGCUGUGAAAGUCGGGGGCUCAACCCUCGAAUGCCGGUGGAUACUGUCGGGCUAGAGUGCGGAAGAGGCGAGUGGAAUUCCUGGUGUAGCGGUGAAAUGCGCAGAUAUCAGGAGGAACACCGGUGGCGAAGGCGGCAUCCUGGACCGGUAUUGACGCUGAGGAGCGGAAAGCCCAGGGGAGCAAACGGG
rnacentral:rRNA from 1 species